CAANNGACUUCCAAUCAAUCAGCUUCGGUAUAACCCGAAAAAGAAUA
rnacentral:tRNA from 1 species